rnacentral:rRNA from 1 species
UACGUAGGGUGCGAGCGUUAAUCGGAAUUACUGGGCGUAAAGCGUGCGUAGGCGGCUGUGCAAGACAGAUGUGAAAUCCCCGGGCUUAACCUGGGAACUGCAUUUGUGACUGCAUGGCUAGAGUGUGUCAGAGGGAGGUGGAAUUCCGCGUGUAGCAGUGAAAUGCGUAGAGAUCCGGAGGAACACCAGAGGCGAAGGCGGCGCCCUGGGCUGCACCUGACGCUGAGCCGCGAAAGCCAGGGUAGCGAACGGGA